rnacentral:rRNA from 1 species
UGAGGAAUAUUGCCCAAUGGACGCAAGUCUGAGGCAGCGACGCCGCGUGGGUGAAGAAGGCCUUCGGGUCGUAAAGCCCUUUUCUGUGUGACGAGAACGGACGGUAGCACAGGAAAAAGUCUCGGCUAACUACGUGCCAGCAGCCGCGGUAAAACGUAGGAGGCAAGCGUUACCCGGAGUUACUGGGCGUAAAGCGUGCGUAGGCGGGUCGGUAAGUGGGUCGUGAAAGCGCCGGGCUAAACCGGGCGAGGACGAACUAGGCUGCCGGGCUAGAGGCGGAGAGAGGGGUGCGGGAUUCCGGGUGUUGCGGUGAAAUGUGUAGAGAUCCGGAGGAAGACCAGUGGUGCAAACGGCGCCGUGAGUCCGAACUGACGCGGAGGCACGAAAGCGUGGGGAGCGAACG